AUACUACUCCCUCCGUCUCAAAAUUCUUGUCUUUGAUUUGUUUAGAUACGAAUGUAUCUAGUCAAGUUUUAGUANNUAGAUACAUCCAUUUCUAGACAAAUCUAAGAAAAAAAAUUUAGGACGGAGGGAGUAUGUG
rfam:Hordeum vulgare subsp. vulgare, WGS project CAJW01000000 data, contig: morex_contig_1646096